UUUGUUAUACUGGUUAUUGUUAACAAAAGUCUUGAUGAGUCUUUUUUAUUAAUAAAUUAAUUUUUGCUUUUAUUAGAUAUUUUCUUCAACACUUGCUGAUGGACUAAAUUACUCAAGUGAUCCAAUUAGAACAAUAUCCUGUACCUUGGUUCCACAUAUUCAGGCACAUAGUGAUGCUAGCCAAAAUCGUCUAGAGUGUGAUAUAAGAGAGUAUCCACCAAACAGUUCAUUUGUAGAGGAUGUUGGAAACAGACUAUCUAGUUUGAUGUCAAAGAGUUGGUACCAUUUCCAGCAAUCAGUCACUGGGUUUUGUAAUCAAAGUCAAACUGAGUCACUAGAUUUUGGUGAUCAUACAUGGCCAGAGUCAGUUGGUAAUACUACACUUACAAUGCCUUGUGGUAACUAUCCACUGAUGAAUGUCACUCGAUUGUGUCAGACUAAUGGAGUUGGCUGGGGAAAUCCUGAUUAUAGUCAAUGUGAAAUUACAUUCACAUUUUUUAUCCAAGGCCAAAGUGGAAGCGGAAUUGGUGAUACCUACACAAUAAAUGAAGGAUAUCCAUUUAUAUUGUUAUGUCAUGU